UAAAUACUCCCUCCGUCCCAAAAUAAGUGACUCAACUUUGUACUAAAGUUAGUACAAAGCUGAGUCACUUAUUUUGGGACGGAGGGAGUAGUUG
rnacentral:pre_miRNA from 1 species